GGCCCCAGGACCCGGCAAGAGCCAUCACCGUCCUCUGAAGGCGGCAGGGAGUUUUGGAUUUUCUGUUCACGAUCGGUCUUCCACGCCGAAGGGUGCCUCGUGAACAUAGUAGGCGCUCAAGAAACAUUUUGGAGAGAGGAGGAGAGGAACUGGUCCUCGAGCAGAAUGGCCUCCCGCAUGGUUCUUAAUGUUGUGGCAAGAAGGGAAAUUCCCAGAAUGAUCCAGUUUGGCAGCACGGGCAACGGCAUCAAUCGGGGAUGCUGCAGACGGCUUGGGUUUGCACCAGUUACUAGCGGGUUGACUAGCUCACGUGACCUUACUUCUCUGCACCUUAGUCUCUUCUACUGUUAUGUGGAAUAAAGUCCCCACCUACCAGGA